rnacentral:rRNA from 1 species
UGGGGAAUUUUGGACAAUGGGCGAAAGCCUGAUCCAGCAAUGCCGCGUGUGUGAAGAAGGCCUUCGGGUUGUAAAGCACUUUUGUCCGGAAAGAAAUCCUUGGCUCUAAUACAGUCGGGGGAUGACGGUACCGGAAGAAUAAGCACCGGCUAACUACGUGCCAGCAGCCGCGGUAAUACGUAGGGUGCAAGCGUUAGUCGGAAUUACUGGGCGUAAAGCGUGCGCAGGCGGUUUGCUAAGACCGAUGUGAAAUCCCCGGGCUCAACCUGGGAACUGCAUUGGUGACUGGCAGGCUAGAGUAUGGCAGAGGGGGGUAGAAUUCCACGUGUAGCAGUGAAAUGCGUAGAGAUGUGGAGGAAUACCGAUGGCGAAGGCAGCCCCCUGGGCCAAUACUGACGCUCAUGCACGAAAGCGUGGGGAGCAAACAGGAUUAGAUACCCUGGUAGUCCACGCCCUAAACGAUGUCAACUAGUUGUUGGGGAUUCAUUUCCUUAGUAACGUAGCUAACGCGUGAAGUUGACCGCCUGGGGAGUACGGUCGCAAGAUUAAAACUUAAAUGAAUUGACGGGGUCAUAGCUGUUUCCU